UACGUAGGGUGCGAGCGUUAAUUGGAAUUACUGGGCGUAAAGUGUGCGCAGGCGGCCGAGCAAGUCGAGUGUGAAAGCCCCGGGCUUAACCUGGGAACUGCGUUUGAAACUGGGAGACUAGAGUGUGGCAGAGGGGGGUGGAAUUCCACGUGUAGCAGUGAAAUGCGUAGAUAUGUGGAGGAACACCGAUGGCGAAGGCAACCCCCUGGGUUAACACUGACGCUCAUGCACGAAAGCGUGGGGAGCAAACAGG
rnacentral:rRNA from 1 species